rnacentral:rRNA from 1 species
UACGAAGGGGGGCUAGCGUUGCUCGGAAUCACUGGGCGUAAAGCGCACGUAGGCGGACUCUUAAGUCAGGGGUGAAAUCCUGGAGCUCAACUCCAGAACUGCCUUUGAUACUGGGAGUCUCGAGUUCGGGAGAGGUGAGUGGAACUGCGAGUGUAGAGGUGAAAUUCGUAGAUAUUCGCAAGAACACCAGUGGCGAAGGCGGCUCACUGGCCCGAUACUGACGCUGAGGUGCGAAAGCGUGGGGAGCAACAGG